ensembl:lncRNA
ACUCAGACUGGAACUUACACCAGUGGCUCGCCCAGGCCUCCAGCUUGCCGACUGCUGAUUUUUGGACUUGACAGCCUCCACCUCCACAGCGGCAUGAAAAAUUCCUCAUCAUCAAUCUCUCUAUGCAUAUAUCCUAUCUAUCCUUUCGGUUCUAUUUCUCUGGGGACCCCUAGAACAACACGCAAGGUGAGAGGCCCUUGAGGAGGACUGACUGUGGCUCGCUGGUCUAAAGCUCUAAGCUGCUACUGCUGCUGACUCCAGCUCUGCAGAAGAUACAGUGGUGACAUCUCCUGGCGUUUGACUCGGAGCCUGAGACAUGUAUCUGAUACAAAUGGGGCUGUUCUGGAUGAGGGAGGGGGCACCCAGCCCCCAAGUCCGGCUCCCCAGCUCCCUGACUGCCCUGGCUCUGCUGAGCACCUUCGAGACCAUAUUGGAAGCUCUCAGCGAGGCUCCUGGACCCUGGCAUCCCCGAAACCCCCUGAGGGACCCACUUUGCCAGCUGCAUGUCUGUGUCGCACGGAACUGUCUCCUUGCUCUGCAAGCAGGUGGAAUGCAGGAGCAGGCAGGAAAAUCCAACUCUUCCGAGUCAGACACUCGAGAGCUCUGCAGACACGAAGACAAUGCCACGCCGCCCCCUAAAUGCUUUUUGUUUUGGAAAAUACAGCUGUUUGUCAUAAGAUAACCGGAAGCAGCAGAGAAAACAUCUGAAGUGCUUCCUGGACACACUGGUUAGGAAGUUUCUGCAAGAACCCAGGUUCUCCUCCCCACCAGACUCGGAGAUUUUAACUUGAUCAUCUCUGCAAAGACCUUAUCUUCAAAUACAGUUACAUUCUGAGGUCCUGGUAGUUAGGGCUGCAACACCCGAAUUGGAGGGGACGUAAUCCAGCUCCUGACAAUACCGCAUAUGACAGCUGCGUCUCUGCCUGUAGUACUGUUUUUUCCAGUGAAAGCAUCUGUGAAUGUAUUCAGAAAGCCUCCUUUUGGGGCCAGGCCUUGCAGAGAAUCCUUCAGAAACUGGACAACGCCACCCAAGGCAGUCAGUGGGGAGGACGCAUUGGGUGCCUCAUUGGUCCCUGGAUCUGCCUCACAGUCCUCUAUGUUCUUCCUCAUUCCCUCUCCUCUUUCUCCGCUUUGGUUGACCUUGACGCUCAUUCCUGGGGAAGGCCCCGGUGGGAGCAGUGCAGUGACAAGAGGAGCCUGUUUCCGUCAGCACCCUCACGCUCUCCAGUGGUCCACUGGAGACACCUGUGACCUCCUCAUGCUAAGGAGCCCAGAGUGGGCAGCCCUCGGGCCCAGGCUCCAUCUGGGUGAGGCCUGUUUUAUUAUCAAUAUUCACCACAAUCAUUUGUGGGAGUGUAAUGCUCAUAUUCCCAUUUAAUAGAUGAAUAAACUGAGGCAAGAUAUAGUGACUCAGCUGAGGCCACACCGCAGUUUAAUGGGGAAGCCAGGAUGAGAGCUGGCGGCUUCUAUGUCUGUGAUCUACACUCUGGUGGCAGAGGACGUCAGAGACCCAUGUCAACGGUGAGGAGGUGACAUGCUGGUCCCUUCCAUAAAAGCUGUUUCAUAAAAUUAAAACACACACACAGUAAAGAUCCAGAUUUACAGAAGUGAGCAUGAGGGGCUAUUUGCCAGUCAACAGAUCUCCCCCAGUGGUUCUUCACUUGGGGCUGAGAUGCUACUGACCGGCAGGGCCUGGGGAGAGAACUUCUUGCUCCCCCUAGAGCUGGCUGACCCAUACGCAGGGGAUUCUGAGCGCUAGGGGCUGGGAGCAGCAUGUGCCACGUGUUUCCCAGGAGUUAGUCAUGUUUGCUCCUAAAACCUAUUGCAAUCGAGGAAUCUAAUUAAACAACACAGCAACUGCAGAAACAGUGCAAAAAGAAUGAGUGACUGUUUCUAUGAAAACUUAGAUGAACUACUUUGGAAAGAUUCAAUAAAGAGCAUGCCUAAAUAUAUACACUGGGGCUAGGAGCAGUGGUUCAAACCUGUCACCCCAGUGCUUUGGGAGGCUAAGGUGGGAAGGUGGUUUGAGGCCAGGAAGUUGAAACCAGCCUGGGCAACAUAGCAAGACCCUGUCUCUACAAAAAAAAAAAAAAAAA